rnacentral:rRNA from 1 species
UGGCACUGAUGCUUAUUGCACCACAUGUGUUUUUCUUUGAAACAAACUUGCUUUGGCGGUGGGCCCAGCCUGCCGCCAGAGGUCUAAACUUACAACCAAUUUUUUAUCAACUUGUCACACCAGAUUAUUACUAAUAGUCAAAACUUUCAACAACGGAUCUCUUGGUUCUCGCAUCGAUGAAGAACGCAGCGAAAUGCGAUACGUAAUAUGAAUUGCAGAUAUUCGUGAAUCAUCGAAUCUUUGAACGCACAUUGCGCCCUCUGGUAUUCCGGAGGGCAUGCCUGUUUGAGCGUCGUUUCUCCCUCAAACCGCUGGGUUUGGUGUUGAGCAAUACGACUUGGGUUUGCUUGAAAGACGGUAGUGGUAAGGCGGGAUCGCUUUGACAAUGGCUUAGGUCUAACCAAAAACAUUGCUUGCGGCGGUAACGUCCACCACGUAUAUCUUCAAACUUUGACCUCAAAUCAGGUAGGACUACCCGCUGAACUUAAGCAUAUCAAUAAGGCGGAGGAA